rnacentral:tRNA from 1 species
UCCCUGGUGGUCCAGUGGCUAAGACUCCACGCUCCUAAUGCUCCUAAAGGAGGCCCAGGUUCGAUACCUGGUCAGGGAA